CGGCACGCACAGGCACGCGCGCACGGGAGCCCCCGGCUGCCCCUCCCGCGCCCGGCUCUGACAUCGCCGCCGCCGCUCCCGCUCCCUGUGCCGCCCCCGCCGCAGGACACGCCGAGAGCCAGGUCCGCCGCGCCCGACACCCAGCAGGCUCAGGGCAGGAAACGUGCCCCGGCCCCACGCACCCGAGACUCUUUCCUUAGCUUUUGACACUGAGUACCAAAGAAAUGGUGAUGGAGAAGCCAAGUCCCCUGCUCGUGGGGAGGGAGUUCGUGAGACAGUACUACACCCUGCUAAAUAAAGCUCCUGACUUCCUGCACAGGUUUUAUGGCAGGAAUUCUUCUUACGUGCACGGAGGGCUGGAUGCCAGCGGGAAGCCGCAGGAGGCAGUGUAUGGCCAAGCUGAGAUACACAAGAAGGUGAUGUCCUUGCAGUUCAGCGAGUGCCACACCAAGAUCCGCCACGUGGACGCCCAUGCCACGCUGAGCGAUGGGGUGGUGGUGCAGGUGAUGGGAGAGCUCUCCAACAAUGGGCAGCCCAUGAGGAAGUUCAUGCAGACUUUUGUGCUUGCUCCAGAGGGCUCUGUUCCAAACAAGUUCUAUGUCCAUAAUGAUAUCUUCAGAUACGAAGAUGAAGUGUUUGGGGAUUCGGAAGGAGAACUUGAUGAAGAGUCUGAGGAAGAGGUGGAAGAGGAACAGGAGGAAAGACAACCAUCACCUGAGCCUGUGCAGGAGAAUGCAAGCAGUACUUACUAUGAAAACCACCCUGUAACCAAUGGGAUCGAGGAGGCACUGGAGGAGUCAUCUCAUGAGCCUGAGCCUGAAUUGGAAUCGGAGACAAAACCCGAGGAGCUGAAGACUGAAGUAGAAGAGAAGACCCUUGAGGAGCUGGAGGAGAAGUCUCCAUCUCCACCUCCUGUAGAACCUGUUUCACUGCCACAAGAACCACCAAAGGCUUUCUCUUGGGCUUCAGUGACCAGUAAAAACCUGCCUCCUAGUGGUACUGUUUCUUCCUCUGGAAUUCCACCCCAUGUUAAAGCACCAGUCUCACAGCCAAGAGUUGAAACUAAGCCUGAAGCUCAGUCCCAGCCCCCUCGUGUGCGUGAGCAGCGUCCCAGGGAGCGGCCUGGUUUCCCACCCCGCGGCCCUCGGCCAGGGAGAGGGGACAUGGAGCAGAACGAGUCAGAUAAUCGCCGGAUCAUUCGCUACCCAGACAGCCACCAGCUCUUUGUGGGGAACCUGCCACACGACAUCGACGAGAGCGAGCUGAAGGAGUUCUUCAUGAGCUUUGGAAAUGUGGUGGAACUUCGCAUAAACACCAAAGGAGUGGGAGGAAAGCUGCCCAACUUCGGGUUUGUGGUGUUUGAUGAUUCUGAGCCCGUCCAGCGAAUUCUAGUUGCCAAACCCAUUAUGUUCCGGGGCGAGGUGCGCCUCAACGUGGAGGAGAAGAAGACCAGAGCCGCUCGUGAGAGGGAGACGCGCGGCGGCGGCGGCGACGAGCGCAGGGACCUGCGGCGCAGCGAGCGCGGCCCCGGGGGGCCCCGCGGCAUAGUGGGUGGCGGCAUGAUGCGGGAGCGCGACGGCAGAGGACCCCCGGCGCGGGGCGCCAUGGCGCAGAAGCUGGGCUCGGGCCGCGGCAGCGGGCAGAUGGAGGGGCGCUUCGCCGGGCAGCGCCGCUGACGGCCCCGUGCCCGCCGGCGCAGCGUCCAUCGUGUUUGCAUUCUCGUUCAUUUCUUUUGGCUUUGGAAUGUGACACAGCCCUCCCGAUCAUUUCUUUGAUGUGAGAGCAUCUUUUGGUUUCCAGUUUCAAUCGAGGUGGACGUUGUUUCCCCAGUUCACACCAGGAAUCACGCUGUUAAUUUAUCAAUGUAGACUUGGAGAAGUGAGGACUGAGAACACAAACAAAUAAAGAACACAAAACAACAGACCGGUGAACUAUCUGCAACAAAGGUGACCUAAGGGACGUGCCCAAUAGAAUUCGGGUCCUUGCAGUCCAAACCCUCUGCUGCACACUUUGUGUCAGUGUUCCUGUUUCUGCCUCUUCCCGUUGGAAACACAAACAGUGCAAUCUGUGCAAUUGGAGAAGCUUGCCUUUUUUUUCUUUUGGGUUGGUUUUUUGGUUUGGGUUUUUUGUUUUCGGUCCUUCUUAGAACACUCAGCUCAGACAGACUCGUGUUUACGCACUCAUCCAAUGCACUGAUGGGUACUCUGAACUCGUGGCUGUGACACCUGCAGGAGGCUUCGGAGGAAACAGCCCCUUCAUCCUCUUCCUCAGAACAGAAUCGCUUGUGAAACGAUGCGGGCAUCUGAUCUGCUGGCUGUGACCAACACCUGGACACACACAAACCUUAAUGAGACUACACCCGUAUUCCAGAAGGAAUCCCUUUAGCUUGUAAACGAAGCCAGAACCCAGAGCUCCAGAGCCGUGGGCCCUGAGUAGGCAACCAGUUUGAUAGCUCACGUCAGGUUACUUUCCUAUCUGCCCCUCUCCGGUACAGGGAUGGCUGCGCUCGCCACACUCCUCCCGCCCCGGCCCCCUCGAUAAGCGUUGUACAGUGAAACUUGUCUUGACUGUAUUUGAGUUCUCUGGUAAUGUAAUAAGCAUGAUGGUGCCUUCUCUGAACACAUCAUUCCAGUCUUGCUGGUGACUUUGUACAGUACCGUGUAUCAAUUACUGUGCUGCGAAGCCGGUCGGCUGCAAAGCAUUUAAAGGAAAUCCUGGGAAAAAAAAUUGUAUUAAAAAAAAAAAAAACAAACUAAGAAAAAAAAGGAAAAAAAAAAAAAAAAACAACAAAACCAAAACUGCAGUAUCUGUCAAUCAGUAAAACCUUGCUAGUGCUCAUCCGCUCCUCGGUUAACAGCUUCGCCUGGUUCGUGGUAGAGGGGUGGGGGGAAAGGGAGGAAGAAGGCAUCGAGUGGUCUGCAGCUUGUCUCUUUAAUCAGAGUAAAGAAAGCAGAGCUGAGAUCUGCCCUGGACGUGAAUGUUAGAAGGUGGUGGCGGUGGGUGAGAGCUUCUGGCCAGCCCGUGGUCAGCAGAACUGAGCAUCCUUUGCCAGGCCAAGCUCUUCGGAGGAGGAUACUGCGGUUCUCGGAGGACAAAGCAGCAGCUCUUAAGUAUUUGCAUUUUCCAGUUGCACUUUUUACAAACUCUUACUCGUUUUGCACAUAACUCUCAGCUGAAGCUGAUGCGUCCGUGGCUCCGGGCUGAAGGAUAGGAAGGAGACAUCCUCCUCUUCAGUGCGACUGGUGGGUGUCCCGCGGAGUGGCCCAUGUCUGGAUGAUGUCUCGGAGCGCAUCUGUGGACGGCAGCUGCAGCAGCCAGCACAGCUGGGCUGCGCUUGCCCGAGCAGAAGGAGGUGUUUGCAGGUGCCUCUCUGGAAGUGUGACCACUUAACGCUGCUCCAGGCACAGAAGGUCCCACCUCGGAGAGCAGAAGCAGCUCGCUGUGGAGCACACUUCACCUUUUGCUGUGCUGUCUGAAGACCACCAGUGGUAGCAGGAGACACCGUAGCGCGUUUGGCUGGAGCUGGUCUUCUGCCAAGUAGCAGUUGGGAAGUGGUUGGACAGUGGCACAGCUGUGUGAGCUGAAACACUGGGAUGGAAAAAUGAGAUCCUGUAGAAGACCAUUAAGCCCAAGUCACCUCUGAGGAGCAAGAAUCCUCCACAGCUACACGAUUUGCUGGUGCCAGAAAUCCCCUCAAUGCUGCCCCCCGAGAGCCUGCAUUGCUUUAGGAGGCCAUAGACACCAGCAAAGACCUGCACACAGCCACUCGGCUGCAGGCUUAGCUGCUUUAACCGAGGAGACAAGGCCCCAGAUCUGUGUGCAUCGCCUGCUGUUCUCCAGCGGAGUUUUCUGGGGAAACCUGCCCGGGAGCUGUUUUCAAACGACUGCUCUUAAGGGGCUGAGGAUUUCCCAGCGCUGGGAGAACCUUCAGCCUUCCUGCAGGCUCAGAAGAUGCUAGCAGUGUUCCACAUGGGAAGAAUUUUUCGCAGCGGAUCCUGUCCUGCUGGUGCAGAGUCACUUGUCAAGGACAAUGGCUGCUGGCAGCGCGUCGAUGUGACAGCGCGGGGAAUGCUGCCAAGGAAAGCAAACUCCUUUGUGCUUCCUGCAGUGUUUCCCUGGCCCCUCAGUCUGAGAUCACCGCUGAUGGCUCUGCAAACUGCCUUUCACCGGGAGGAAAAAAGAAAAAGAGACGACUCAGCAAACUGGAGAAUGGACUUUGCUGAAUGCCCACGGCCACAAAAGCAGGUUGGGCAGGUCACGUGUGUGUGUGUUUGGGUCUCAGUGUGCCCUACAACAGCCGCUCUCUGUGCUGCAGGGGCCCUGCACAUGAGGCAGAAGAGCUUUACCCUCUACAGAAUGGGGGCUGGACUGAGGUCUCCUUUACAUUGGCUUCUAAGAAAACUUGGAGAUGAUGCUGAUUGCACAAAACAAAGAGUCUUUCAACUUCAGAGAUGUUGACUACAGGGCCAUCUUUGUGCUUGGGAAUUCUGCCUGCUUGUGUUCCAGGGAUCAUGGGAUUAUCUAAAUUGGCUUUAAGGAGCUGACUUGCUUUAGAACAAGAGUUCUCCUGGCAUUUAACAAACUAAAUGGACAGUUGCAGCUGAGGUCCGUGAAGUUUCAAUUAUCCCUGGAGAGGUCUGAGUUGGGAAGAACAGGCCUCAUUGAUUCUCAUCCUGUCAUUCAUUCCCAGGAGGCAGCCACGGGUGUUGGGAGCAGGCGGAGCAGGCUGAGCGGCUGUCACAGUUAGAGCUUGCAGGAGGAAGGGGCUGUGUGGCUGUGACCAUGCCGAUGCCUGAGUGGUAUAUGUGACUUGUCUGACAUCGCAGCCUGCUACCCAAGGCUUGCUCCUGUCUCUAGACACUUGCCACUUCUGCCUUUCUCUUAUUGCUGAGACUUCUGCUCUCCUAACCCUUACAAAAGAGCCUGCUUGCUCUCCGCUUGAAAGAAGGUAACACCGUGCCUGACAAGCUGAAAGCACUUCAGUUGGGACUGUGAAAGGAUCUCUCUCCACUGCUCCUAAUGACAGAAGUCCAGGACUUGAAUGCCAGAGACACCUGCCAAGUGGCUUCCCCUUCCCAGUCAGGCUCCGUGAGGAUUUCAGCUCUGCUGGCAGUCAAGGUCAGGACUCUGGUUAGGUCGGGGUCAACGCAGAGCAGGAAGGGAGCCAAAGGGCAGCUUGUCCUUGCUGUUUUUGUCCCUGGAUAAGCUGGAUUCGUAAGUUAUUGAAGAGGGAGGGGGAGGAGGUGAGAAAUGAAAACAGCUCUAACCAGCUGGAACUAGAUCCCUCCUAGCUGGACAGUUACAAUUUGUCAAACAGAAACAAUGCUGGCCUGUUUGCCUUGCAGUAAACACGAUGGGAACAAA